rnacentral:rRNA from 1 species
AGCGCAGGCGGGAAGACAAGUUGGAAGUGAAAUCCAUGGGCUCAACCCAUGAACUGCUUUCAAAACUGUUUUUCUUGAGUAGUGCAGAGGUAGGCGGAAUUCCCGGUGUAGCGGUGGAAUGCGUAGAUAUCGGGAGGAACACCAGUGGCGAAGGCGGCCUACUGGGCACCAACUGACGCUGAGGCUCGAAAGUGUGGGUGGCAAACA